ensembl:lncRNA
GGAAAAUGAACAUGUAAUGUGUCAUCUUUGACACUUGCAAGCAGACCGCAUUUCAAUCACAUUCAAUACACACCCAAGACUAACUGAAGUUACCAUUCUCAGCAUUCCAUUUCCUUAAAAUCUGUCAAAAUGACAUUUGGCACAGGACCAAUGUUUCCACUGUGUUCUAGCAUGCUACCUGGUCCUUAAAUCAUUUUACCUGUUAAGAUGACUAAUGCAUUUAUUCUAGCAAUGUAAGAGAUUUGUGAGCACUACUUUAGUCUUCUGGGGCAACAAGUUAUGACAGAAGAGAAGCUGCAUGUAUUAAAAUAUAGUUGACAAAUGGCCUACCAAAAGGAAGUAAGCAGAAACUUUUCUAAAUUAGGGGUGAACAUAGCCAUUAAGCUCAGUAAUGGUGGAUCAAAUUGAGCAAGUAGCCCACUUUAAAUGAAUUUGACAGAGUCAGACAACCAUGAGACGUUUCACCACAAAAACAGAAUUGAUGGUUACAUGCCACAGUAGCCCAUCUCCAGGGUACAAGCUUUCUCAGGUUUUUGUAAAACAGGAUUUGAUGUUUACAUGUCAACACAAAAUAAAUACUUUAGUAUCCCGAACGGGAUAUUGAUGGUCAGUGGCUUUAACGUAGAGCCAAUCUUGGGAUUUGUCAACCAGCAGCAAAGAAAAUAAAUUAUAUAUUUCAAAUCCAAAAGAAUAGGAACAUUCCCUUUUACUACAAAUUGCACUGGCAACCAACACGGUUCUCAACCAGCUAGCCAAAGGUAGACAUUAAACACACAGUAUUUCAAAACACAAGGAGGCACUUAAAGUACAAUAUUUUAUUGUUUUACAAGUAAUGCAGGGUAGCAUGAGCAGCAGCAUCUCCCUGGCCGACGCAAAAGCAUACAGUGGAAGCUUAAAGAAAGUGUCAGCAACAACUUGGAUUUGUCAUCUAAAGGAUGAAUCUACCAUUGCAAUUCUGUUGAUAGAUGAUUAGUACAAAUGAUUUCUAAAUCAGAACGCAAAGUGCAGGUGAGUGUAAAAGUUGCACAUUACAUCCCAGUAGACUUCCCUUGUGGCAGGGCACCUUUAGCAGGUUGUGAGUUUUUAGCAGGUGGGGAUAUGCUUGGUUCAGAGAUGCCAACGUCCUUGAGAGUAUCUCCGCUAUCAAAAUGGUAUAACCUCCCCAGUGGUGUGGCAGGUUUGGGAGUAGACAGUCUUGCCAUUCUCAUACACAGAUUUGUAAAUAUAUUGGGAUGAGAACUGACUAUUCAACGAUGCUGCCUUGAACGCUGAUGGAGCUGAGACAUUGGGUACUUUCAUUGGCCCCAUCAGACCCAAAAUCCUGAGAAACACCACUGCUGCUAAAAUCCAUGUUGCUUGAGGAGUUGGCCCUCCUGUUCGAGGCCUGUGGCUUCCGCCGAGGCAAGGGCGCCUGUGGCUUCCGCCGAGGCAAGGGCGCCUGUGGCUUCCGCCGAGGCAAGGGCGCCUGUGGCUUCCGCCGAGGCAAGGGCGCCUGUGGCUUCCGCCGAGGCAAGGGCUCCUGUGGCUUCCGCCGAGGCAUUUGAACCAGAUUUGAUGAGGUACCGACUUGAUGAGGUACUGUGGCCGGUUUCUUCACCUAAGGUAUUUGGGACAGUCGUUACGCUUGAUGAAGCAUUAUGGAUGGCCGCUUCCGAGGCAUUAUGGGUGGCCACUGGCAUGGCACUGUGCCCAGUUGCUUCCACUACCGAGGCACCAUGGCCAGUUGCUUCACCUAAGGUAUUUGUGCCAGUCUUGACGCUUGCUGAGGCAUUGUGGGUGACUGCUUCUGAGGCACGGGAUCCGGUUGCUCCACCUAAGGUAUUUGGGCCAGUCGUGACGCUUGCAGUGGCAUUACGGGUGGCUGCUUCACCUGCCGAGACAC